rnacentral:rRNA from 1 species
AAUGGGCGCAAGCCUGAUCCAGCCAUGCCGCGUGAGUGAUGAAGGCCUUAGGGUUGUAAAGCUCUUUCAGUGGGGACGAUAAUGACGGUACCCACAGAAGAAGCCCCGGCUAACUUCGUGCCAGCAGCCGCGGUAAUACGAAGGGGCUAGCGUUGUUCGGAUUUACUGGGCGUAAAGCGCACGUAGGCGGAUCGUUAAGUCGGGGGUGAAAUCCUGGAGCUCAACUCCAGAACUGCCUUCGAUACUGGCGAUCUUGAGUCCGGAAGAGGUGAGUGGAACUCCUAGUGUAGAGGUGGAAUUCGUAGAUAUUAGGAAGAACACCAGUGGCGAAGGCGGCUCACUGGUCCGGUACUGACGCUGAGGUGCGAAAGCGUGGGGAGCAAA